GGCCCAUUGGCUUGGUUUUUUAGAGCGUCGCGCUAGUAACGCGAAGGUCGAGGGUUCGAAUCCCUCAUUGGUCA